rnacentral:tRNA from 1 species
CUUUGCUGGUUUGGUGGCAGAAUUCUCGCUUCCUAUGCAAGAGACCUGGGUUUGAUUCCCAGCCAACAGA